rnacentral:rRNA from 1 species
UACAGGGGGGGCAAGCGUUGUCCGGAUUCAUUGGGCGUAAAGAGCGUGUAGGCGGCCAGGUAGGUCGGUUGUGAAAACUGGAGGCUCAACCUUCAGAGGUCGACCGAAACCAUCUGGCUAGAGUCCGGGAGAGGAGAGUGGAAUUCCACGUGUAGCAGUGAAAUGCGUAGAGAUGUGGAGGAACACCGAUGGCGAAGGCAGCCCCCUGGGUUAACACUGACGCUCAGGCACGAAAGCGUGGGGAGCAAACAGG